rnacentral:rRNA from 1 species
UGGGGAAUUUUUCACAAUGGGGGAAACCCUGAUGCAGCGACGCCGCGUGAUUUAGAAGGCCUUCGGGUUGUAAAAAUCUUUUCUAUGGGAAGAAAAUGACAGUACCAUAGGAAUAAGGACCGGCUAACUACGUGCCAGCAGCCGCGGUAAUACGUAAGGUCCGAGCGUUGUCCGGAAUCAUUGGGCGUAAAGGGUACGUAGGCGGGUAAGCAAGUUAGAAGUGAAAUCCUAUAGCUCAACUAUAGUAAGCUUUUAAAACUGCUCAUCUUGAGGUAUGGAAGGGAAAGUGGAAUUCCUAGUGUAGCGGUGAAAUGCGCAGAUAUUAGGAAGAAUACCGGUGGCGAAGGCGACUUUCUGGCCAUAACCUGACGCUGAGGUACGAAAGCGUGGGUAGCAAACAGG